GAUGAACGCUAGCUACAGGCUUAACACAUGCAAGUCGAGGGGCAGCAUGGUCUUAGCUUGCUAAGGCCGAUGGCGACCGGCGCACGGGUGAGUAACGCGUAUCCAACCUUCCCUAUAGUAGGGGAUAGCCCGUAGAAAUGCGGAUUAAUACCCUAUGUUGUAUUUUGAUGACAUCUGACGAAUACCAAAGGUUUACCGCUAUAGGAUGGGGAUGCGUCCGAUUAGCUUGACGGCGGGGUAACGGCCCACCGUGGCUACGAUCGGUAGGGGUUCUGAGAGGAAGGUCCCCCACACUGGAACUGAGACACGGUCCAGACUCC
rnacentral:rRNA from 1 species